rnacentral:tRNA from 1 species
UCCCUGGUGGUCCAUUGACUAAGACUCUGCACUUCCAAUGCAGGGGCCCCAGGUUCAAUCUUGGUUAGGGAA